CUCUUCUCCACCUAUCCUUUCCAAUUUAAUCACUUUUCUUUUUUUCCCCUCUUUAUGCCAAAUCACAAGCCAAAACCGUCAAAAACCUCUGAAAAUCACAAUUAUGCUCUUACAAAUGACAAACCCAAGUUGCUAUUGUGUUUGAGGAGUUUUAACCUUCAAACACAAUUUAUAAGGAGGCAGCAGCACCACUGUAGGGUUAGGGCACCAUAUGUCCCUCACCAUCAUAUUACCGACCUAUAUCCUAUCGGAACCCUAAACAUAACUUGGUCAGGAUUAAAUAAUAUUUUGGAAAAUUGCAACCAAAAUACAGUAGAUCCAUCGUAAACUUGAGAAUGAGGGCCACAAAGUGCAUAGAACUGAACAUACAUUCAGAUCUGACACUAGAUCUUGUACAACUUGGUGUUGUCUUUCCGAAACUAUUGAACCAAAGAAAACUCUUACUCAAUAGAGAAACCAAACAGCCUUCGAGGCGAAACAGUUGCUGGUUAUGGUCUCUGAUGCGAACAUCAAGGAUUUUUCAUGUCCGUUCUCAAAGCUGGAUUGAAUUCAAUUACCCUAACUACAAUCAUAUAUAUUUUUUUGAGGAAUUAUUACCUUUGUCCGAACAAAAGUUUGAAAAUCACAAUCAUGAAUCACGAAUCCACCGUUACUAUAUUGUUAUAUAUAGUUAAAAAAAAAAAAAAACUGUACAAGUCAUAAUGUUGGAGAUCAGAGCCAAUUAGAUAAGUGUAUUAUAUGAUUAUAUAAAAGUUGUUCACGAGGGAUAAUUAAAGGAUAAAAAAUAUUACUAAUUACUUGUAAAAUAUUUUCAAAAAAACAUGAAUACAUAGUAUCUAUUUUUUUGGUACUUUGUAUUGUUGUUAUAGUUUGAGAUUGUAUAUAGAAAUUUUCUGAUAAUUUUUUAUAUUAUUGUGUAUUGAAUUCGAUCCAAUAAAUUAUAUAUAUGGCAUGUUAUUCAGCACAUGUUUAUGUAUUAAGGUUUAAUUACAAAACUUCUGGAUGAAAUCAUAAUCUCAAACCCUACACUACAAUUCCACACCAUACCAGAACCCUUCCACACAUUAUUUUUCUUCCCUUUCUCUUCCCAUUCAAUCUCCACCGGGCAAUUCAAUCUCGCCGCCUCUUGACUGCUGUUCUCAUCGGAAAAUUCAGUUGAUGCACCCCAGCCGAUCCUCGUCCCCAAACUUUGGGCGUAGCAAUCAAUCCACUCAGUUUCUAGCUGUCCGAUCAGCCCCCUGAAUGAAGAAUUUGCGAGUCUCAAGUUGUUUUAUCAUAUUGGAGAGAAUGGCUUGAGAUUGUUCGGCCUUCAGCUCCAUGAUACGAGUGACUGGUGUUGGUGACACGAAGGCAGCAACAUUGUCACUGCUGGAAACUGAUAAGCCGACCAGUUCAAAUCUAUCGCCGCCCCCCACCCCCCCACCCAGCGGAUGCUACUUUCUCUGGUUCAUUAGAUAUUUGGUUUAUAACUAUCACCCGUGUAUAAAUCAUAUUAUAUGCUAGUGUAUAUACAUAUAUUGUACUUUUUAAAAUUUUACUAG